rnacentral:rRNA from 1 species
CGUGAAAUUGUUGAAAGGGAAGCGUUUAUGACCAGACUUGGGCUUGGUUAAUCAUCUGGGGUUCUCCCCAGUGCACUUCUCCAGUUCAGGCCAGCAUCAGUUUUCCCCGGGGGAUAAAGGCGGCGGGAAUGUGGCUCUCUUCGGGGAGUGUUAUAGCCCGCCGUGUAAUACCCUGGGGGGGACUGAGGUUCGCGCAUCUGCAAGGAUGCUGGCGUAAUGGUCAUCAACGACCCGUCUUGAAACACGGA